CCAAUAGCGUAUAUUAAAGUUGUUGCAGUUAAAAAGCUCGUAGUUGAACUUCGGGGUUUACCCAUUGGUCAGGCUUAAUUGUCUGUACUGGUGAGAUGAAUCUCUACCUUCUGAGGAACUUUCAUGCCAUUUAUUUGGUGUGAUGGGAAAUCAGGACUGUUACUUUGAAAAAAUUAGAGUGUUUAAAGCAGGCUAACGUCUGAAUACAUUAGCAUGGAAUAAUGCAAUAGGACGGAUUGAUUCUAUUUCGUUGGUUUCUAGGAUCACCGUAAUGAUUAAUAGGGUUAGUUGAGGGCAUUAGUAUUCAAUUGUCAGUGGUGAAAUUCUUGGAUUUAUUUAAGACUAACUACUGCGAAAGCAUUUGCCAAGGAUGUUUUCAUUAAUCAAGAACGAAAGUUAGGGGAUCGAAGACGAUCAGAUACCGUCGUAGUCUUAACCAUAAACUAUGCCGACUAGGGAUCGGACGAAGUUAAUUUUAUAAUGACGCGUUCGGCACCUUACG
rnacentral:rRNA from 1 species